AAACUCUAUUCUUCAAUUCAAGGGGAGAUACAGGAACUGGACAUCAAGGGUUCUAAUCAUGUAACGUCCUACUCAUUGUUAUCUCCCUGUUUGAUGUCAUAUCCUGUAUUCCGUGUGAAAUUUAAUUUCAACUCUCUCCUCAAUCACUAAUGGCCAUUGCCUAUUCAGACAUCAUCUGUAACAAUGAGGAAACUGCUACCCUGGUAGAUUGCUGUAUGAUGUCCUAAAUUAUGUCUAUGCCGUGCUCCUAAUCAUGCCGAUGAAGAUGGAAAGAGGUUUGUUCUAUGGAGUAAUCGUCUGUGAAUAGUUUUAAAUGAAAGUCAUCCGUCAUGCAGGGUUGACAUCAGGUUUUAUGAAUCUGUCCUCUCUGUGUUGAAUGACAUGUCAUCAGAAUACUAAAUACGGAAUACUGAACAUUUUGGUAGUUGAAAACGCCAUUCAUUCCAGGUCCAUGUGUUCCAUUGCUCUGGAGGAGUCUAGGUAAUAGGUACACACAUUUAAUGGGACAGUGUGACUGUACCGAUUAAGAGGGCAUUGUCAAGAGGUUUGGAAGGGUUUUGUGUUGGUUGGUCCAGAAAUACACUGAUGUUUUGUAUUCACUGCAAUGCAAUUUACAUACAAAACAUUCUGUUAUGUCAAAGAUUGCUUUAAAUUCACAAUCAAUAAUCAAAUACCCUUUUUAUCUGUCUCAAUCAGGGUCACUCUGUCUUAACGGAACAGCUACUGAGUUUACAUGGAGCCGAUUUAGAUGAGUCACAGAGGAACACUCUUAAUUUAGUCAGAUAUCGUUUUUGUUUAUUUCAUUACACAGCCGGGAGUCAUUUAAGAAGUGUAUCUCUUUUAUAAAAUGUGCCAUGCACUAACUAAUAUGGCCGAUGCAGGUCCUUCAUGUCUCCUCAUGGCAACCAGCAGAAGGGCUGUGUUCAGUACACGCUGUUGGUCUCAAAAGGCUGUGUUCAGUACACGCUGUUGGUCUCGAAGGGCUUUGUUCAGUACACUCUGUUGGUCUCAAAGGGCUGUGUUCAGUACACGCUGUUGGUCUGAAAGAGCUGUGUUCAGUACACGCUGUUGGUCUCAAAGGGCUGUGUUCAGUACACGCUGUUGGUCUCAAAGGGCUGUGUUCAGUACACGCUGUUGGUCUCAAAGGGCUGUGUUCAGUACACGCUGUUGGUCUGAAAGAGCUGUGUUCAGUACACGCUGUUGGUCUCAAAGGGCUGUGUUCAGUACACGCUGUUGGUCCCGCAGCAGUUCCAGUCAUGACAUCAGUUAAGAUGAGGGGUGCAAUCGAUUGUUCCAAAGUUUUUUUUCACCUGGUCACUUGUUGAUCUUCAACCUUUCUCAGGGCUGUUUCUGUAAUUUCUCUUAUUUGGCGUGGUCAUAUCAUUCUUUUCCGAUUUUGGUUCUGUCCCCAUUUACGACUUCAUAACACAGGGUUCCUUUGAGGAUUUUUGAGCAGGGAGGGAGCUUGGACUGGAAUCCAGUAGAAUUUGAUGAGAAUGUGCUGGUUGGCCUGUUGGUUAAUUCACGGUCAUGUUGUGUCAUGACCACUAGAGGGCACUCCAGCCCUGGCCCGGUUAUUAUCCUUUCCCAAAACCAUCCAAGGAUGUUGGAUAUCAAGGGAAAUUUGCCAUUUCUUUUGGAUUAUAUUCGGCUCAGUGCCAUGUGAAAUGAACGUACACACACACAAGAGACAGUGUUUCUCUGCUGUUAGUAUCUGGCUGAGGAAAAUAAUACGUUGUCAGGAUUGACAACUGGUUAUUAAAUGAAAUAAAUCCUUAAUGUAUUUAUUCUAAAUCCCAGAACGCUAGACUGAGCAGCACUACUAUUACCCAUCUGUCUCUCUCUCCCUCUCUCCAUCUCUCUCUUUCUCUCUCUAUCUCUCUCCCUUUCUCUAUCGCUCUCCCAUUCUCUCUAUCCCCCCCCCCCAUUUAUUUUCUCUCCCUCCAAUGGACAAUAUAGAACAAACCAGAAACAGCUAGUACAACCAACUGAUGGACUUCAGACCUCGUCCAUAAAUCCAAUCUGUUCCAAAUGGCUCCUCUUCCUCUUCGUUGCACCUUAGAGGCUCUGGUGAAAAAUGGUGCCCUAUGUAGUGAGCAGGAUGUUAUUUGAGACACAGUCCCGGAGUAGCCUGAGCUACGAAGAUGAAGUACACUAGAGUACAAUAUAACCCACAGGACCACCUACCCGGGUAUCAGGGUUCAUACGUCCAGGACCACCCACCCAGGUAUCAGGGUUCAUAUGUUCAGGACCCCCACCCAGGUAUCAGGGUUCAUAUGUUCAGGACCACCCACCCAG
ensembl:lncRNA